rnacentral:rRNA from 1 species
AACCUUUACACUGCCCGCCAGUGCGAUAAGGGGACUCCAAGUGCGAGGGCAUAUAGUCCUCGCUUUUCUGGACCGUAAGGAGGUCCAGGAACAAGGGCUGGGCAAGACCGGUGCCAGCCGCCGCGGUAAUACCGGCAGCCCAAGUGAUGGCCGCUCUUAUUGGGCCUAAAGCGUCCGUAGCUGGCCAGGCAAGUCCGUCGGGAAAUCCGCACGCCCAACGUGCGGGCGUCCGGUGGAAACUGCCUGGCUUGGGACCGGAAGACCUGAGGGGUACGUCCGGGGUAGGAGUGAAAUCCCGUAAUCCUGGACGGACCACCGGUGGCGAAAGCGCCUCAGGAAGACGGAUCCGACGGUGAGGGACGAAAGCUCGGGUCACGAACCGGAUUAGAUACCCGGGUAGUCCGAGCUGUAAACGAUGUCUGCUAGGUGUGACACAGGCUACGAGCCUGUGUUGUGCCGUAGGGAAGCCGUGAAGCAGACCGCCUGGGAAGUACGUCCGCAAGGAUGAAACUUAA